GAGAUUAGUGAAAGCUAACCGACAUGCACACCUAUUUAAAACACUAAUCUUUUGCGUGCAGUUCCUGAUUUUGGUCUCUUAGGUGUAAAGAGUUUUUUUUUUCCCUUGAAUUUUCACUAUUAUCAAUAUAUAUAAAAUUUUUAUAUAUUUUAUUUUUUUAUAUUUGUUCUUUUUUUUUUAAUUUCCUUAAUCCCAACAUGAAGAUUCUACAAAUAAGGUUUUGUUGUGCUUGGAUUCUAGUAGUCCUAUGAGGCCUAGUCCAAUUUAUGUCAAAGAUUAAAUUGUUUAGCUAUGU
rnacentral:misc_RNA from 1 species